rfam:Tetraodon nigroviridis, WGS project CAAE01000000 data, contig: CNS0BZ6O, chromosome: 18
AAGACUAUACUUUCAGGGAUCAUUUCUAUAGUUCCUAACUUGAGAAAUGUGUUUCUAAAGUGAUUGGUCUCGCUACCCACGAUGAAGAGUCGUGAUGUUCCUUUCUGAGCGCGAAAAGGACCCAGAUUAAUGAUUCAGUUCAUAUGAUCUCGGUCGUUGAUGAACGUUCGGCUCUCCUUCGGGAGAGUUGAGGAAGGGAACAUGAUCAGAGUGGU